ACUUAUUAAAACGUAAGUUUAAUAUUUGAUGUUAACAAUUGUGCUGAUAAUAAUGCAGUUGUAGUUUUCUGAUCUGGUUUAACUUGGUUUAAACUCGGAAAUACUGAAUAACUUCGCUGCAAGUCACUAGGCCUAUGUUGGAGAAAUGUGUUUUUUCGUCACAAUGUGGUAAUAAAGUUUAGAUUAUGUCAGUAAUCUUACUUAAUUUGAUUUUCAGCUGUAGUUAGGUGUAUCCGUUUAAUGUGUUUAUAGUUUUUUUUUAACGUUUAAUUAUCUAACGUCACAAUAGGGUGUAAGUUGACACAUUUUUAUGUGUUUGGAUGGUCGAAAUCUUGCAGGUAGGGCUGUGGCUGGUGUUUUCAACAUUUUAUAAUGUAAACGUAACGAUGAAGUUAAUUCUAAAUUCGAUUUGUCAAAUGCCACCAUAGUAUUUUUAUUGAAGCCACGUAAGUUAGAUGGCGCUGUGGGAUAGCGUUAACAUGGCCCAACACUGCGCAACGAAGAAGGCGAUGGGUAUUUAAAAAUACCCGCUUUUUUGUUUCUCGUCACUUUAACCUUCUGCGAUGAUUACGGUAGCACGAACGACUAUUUUAUAUUAUUGUUAGACAUAAACAAUCAGUUGACUUGAGCAGAGCGGCGGUUGAUACAAGUAACGCAUAUUGAAAUUCACUCUUUGUUAGCAGUGACUGUUAUUGGCAUAGCACAUAUUGCUGAACUAACGUAUUUUGUUCUCUUUUUUUUUGUUUUAAUUAACAAGCUUCUCCUGUGCACUCAAACAAGUCCCUGUCUUCAUCCUUUGACUCCACUGACUCACAGGACACACUCAUUAUUGAAGAACGGGUUUCAAGUACACGAAAGAGGCUCGAUGAUGAAGCUAAAAAAGUACAUCACAACCAAGGAAUGUGAAUGAGAAAUAUCCCAGAGUAAUUGUGGUGUUCCUGUAUCUCAGUGGACCCCACCCCCACGAAAAGGAUUGUCUUGUCAAGGCCAGAAAAGGCGUCUACAUCUCAAGUGGGGAUUAUCUUGUCUUCUAGAAGAGUGAAACAAGCAUUGAGGAGCAUCUUCAAGACAUCGCUGGAAGUGCUCAGUCCUAUCACCUGGCUGUUGAAACGGAGAAUUCAGUUCACCAGUUCUUCAUUCUUGAUCAACAUGUCAUUCCAUGCAAGUCAGCCUCUUCUUUUGUUUCCUUUUGAUGAAAUGUUUUAAUGGGAUUAUGUUUAAUGUUUAAUGGGUUUAAUUCACCUAAAAAUGAGAAUUCUGUCAUUAACUCUCCCUCAUGCCGUUCCAAACCCGUAAGACCUUCGUUCAUCUUUGAAACAACAAUGAAGAUAUUUUAAUGAAAUCUGAAAGUUUUCUGUCCCUCUGUUGACAGUUUACACAACUAGCACAUUCAAGGCCCCGACAGGUAGUAAUGAGACAUUAAAGUAAUCCAUGUUACUCUGUUGGUUUAACCUCAACUUUAUACACGCAUUCACACAACGACUGCUUUCAUUUCAGCAAAUCACUCAUGCGUCGUGGUGCUCUCAUGUACGCAAGUCCGGUUUUGCGUUGCUUCAUAAAACUGAAGUUAAAUCAACAGAGUCACAUGGGUAACUUUAAUGAUGUCUUUACUGCCUUUCUGCACCUUGAAAGUGGUAGUUGUGUAGGCUGUCAAUGAAGUGACAGAAGUCUCCCAGAUUUCAUCAAAAAAUAUCUUCAUUUGUGUUCUGAAAAUGAACAAAAGCCUUACAGGUUUAGAAUGACAUGAGGGUAAGUUAAGGAGAGAAUUUAUUUUUUGGUGAACUAAUUUUAAGGCACACUUUGUUUUGGGCACCAUUUAUAACACUAUUCUACACAAGAUGUACACUCUUGUUGUCAGAAUGAAAGUGUACAACAAAGAUGCUGGCAAAGUGAAGUCCUUGUAUUGCUGAGGUUAGAGCAAGGCUGCUUAGCUAGGUGGUUCAACAGAUUCUGUACUGCAUACAGUGAUGUAUUGUCAUUUCAUGCAGAUGUGAUGUAUUUUUGUGCAUAUACGUGUAUGUCUUUUGAGCCUGACAACGUUUAAAUAAAUGUUUUAAAUGUGA